GUGAUUCCUUCAGCAGCAUAUAUUCUAAAAUUGGAACGACACAGAGAAGGUUAACAUGGCCCCUAUGAAAGGAUGACAUACAAAUUUGUGAAGCAUUCCAUAUUUUU
rnacentral:snRNA from 1 species